AUUGAACGCUGGCGGCAUGCCUUACACAUGCAAGUCGAACGGUAACGGGUCCUUCGGGAUGCCGACGAGUGGCGAACGGGUGAGUAAUAUAUCGGAACGUGCCCAGUAGUGGGGGAUAACUGCUCGAAAGAGCAGCUAAUACCGCAUACGACCUGAGGGUGAAAGGGGGGGAUCGCAAGACCUCUCGCUAUUGGAGCGGCCGAUAUCAGAUUAGCUAGUUGGUGGGAUAAAGGCCUACCAGGGCAACGAUCUGUAGUUGGUCUGAGAGGACGACCAGCUACACAGGGACUGAAACACGGCCCAGACGCCUACGGGAGGCAGCAGUAGGGAAUUUUGGACAAUGGGCGCAAGCCUGAUCCAGCAAUGCCGCGUGCAGGAAGAAGGCCUUCGGGUUGUAAACUGCUUUUGUCAUGGAAGAAAUCUUCUAGGCUAAUACCCCGGGAGGAUGACGGUACCUGAAGAAUAAGCACCGGCUAACUACGUGCCAGCCGCCGCAGUAA
rnacentral:rRNA from 1 species